AGCUGAGGAGGGAUGAGAGAGGCGGCCAGGGCCCCGGGCCGUAGCAGCGCGGGGCUGGGGGACCAGGGGGGCUAAGACAACCCAACUGCCCCCUUCCCCUUUCCCUCUCCCCCUCUAUCCUUUCCUUCCACCCUCCCGCUUGAGGAGGGGGAUUUAUUCAAAUUUUAUUUAAAUCCCUAUCUCCCAAGGGUCGCGCGCUGGGGGGAGGGGGAGAGGUCGGGGGUGAGCGCGGGCUGGGGGGGCGGGGCCGGAGCAGCUUCCUUCACCCCCCCUCCGCUCGCCUCGUAGCCGUAGGGCAGGGGGUCGCAGUCCAGGGGCGGGCCCAGGGGAGGGGGGCAGGUUACAGCGACCCCCCCCUCCCCGGGAACCGGCGGUGGGCGGGGCUUGAACCCCGGAAACGGUGGGGGGGCCCAGGCCUGGCCCUGGACCCCUGGGCAGUGGGGUCCGGGAAGGGGCUAGUUAAAGGGCCAGGGGCGCUGGGGAGAGGCGGGGCGGGGUGGGGGGAGGGGAGCUGGGACUCGGACCCGGGACUGAGUGGGCCCCGGGCAGAAACUGAGCACCCUGCGCCCAAGGAGCCCCCGUUGGCCUGGGGGGGCUGAGGGACUGAGCCCCCCAGAGCAGGACCUCCCCCUGGAAGGGCCGCGCCGCAGCCCGUGGGAGGGCCUCGCCCCCGGCGCCCCCCAUCUCCACUCGCCGCCGUCCCGGCCUCCGCCGGAGGGAGGGGCCGAGCGCCCUCGGGGGGCCGUGGACCCCGGCGUUCUGAGCGUUCCGCGCCCCGCGCCGCCCGGCCCCCCCGCCGCCGAUGGCCGCCGACCCGCCGGGAGCUGCCGAGAAGGGAGAGAUGGCUCCCGGGACACGUGUGAGCCCUCGGCGUUGCUGACGCCCCCAAUGUCGUCGAGCAGCCGGGGGCCGGGGGCCGGAGCGCGCCGACGCCGAACCCGCUGCCGCCGCUGCCGGGCCUGUGUGCGAACUGAGUGCGGGGAUUGCCACUUCUGCCGAGACAUGAAGAAGUUCGGGGGGCCCGGGCGCAUGAAGCAGUCGUGCCUGCUCCGGCAGUGCACUGCCCCCGUGCUCCCACACACAGCUGUGUGCCUCUUGUGUGGGGAGGCUGGGAAGGAGGACACGGUGGAGGGAGAGGAAGAGAAAUUUGGUUUGAGCCUCAUGGAGUGUACAAUCUGCAACGAGAUCGUCCACCCCGGCUGCCUGAAGAUGGGGAAGGCUGAGGGUGUCAUCAAUGCAGAGAUCCCCAACUGCUGGGAGUGCCCUCGCUGCACCCAGGAAGGCCGCACCAGCAAGGAUUCAGGUGAGGGGCCUGGCCGCCGGAGGGCCGACAACGGCGAGGAGGGCGCCAGCUUGGGGAGCGGAUGGAAGCUGACAGAGGAGCCCACACUUCCACCGCCCCCGCCCAGGCGCAAGGGCCCCCUGCCUGCCGGGCCCCCCCCAGAGGACGUGCCUGGGCCCCCCAAACGAAAGGAAAGGGAGGCAGGGAAUGAGCCUCCCACCCCAAGGAAAAAGGUGAAAGGAGGCCGAGAGAGGCACCUGAAGAAGGUGGGUGGAGACGCCUGCCUCCUCCGAGGAUCGGACCCAGGCGGCCCCGGCCUGCUACCCCCCAGGGUUCUGAAUCCGAGCCAGGCUUUCUCAUCCUGCCACCCUGGGCUCCCUCCCGAGAACUGGGAGAAACCAAAGCCGCCUUUGGCCUCUGCAGAGGGCCCAGCGGUGCCGUCCCCGUCCCCGCAGAGGGAGAAGCUAGAGCGUUUCAAGCGGAUGUGCCAGCUGCUGGAACGGGUUCCUGACACCUCCUCUUCCUCCUCGGACUCAGACUCCGACUCCGACUCUUCGGGCACAUCGCUGAGUGAGGACGAAGCCCCCGGCGAGGCCCGGAAUGGGCGACGGCCAGCCCGGGGCAGCUCCGGAGAGAAGGAGAACCGUGGGGGGCGGCGGGCUGUGCGCCCUGGCAGCGGGGGGCCCCUGCUCAGCUGGCCCCUGGGCCCAGCCCCACCACCCCGGCCUCCACAGCUGGAGCGGCACGUGGUGCGGCCCCCGCCUCGAAGCCCUGAGCCUGACACACUCCCCUUGGCUGCUGGAUCCGACCACCCCCUGCCCCGGGCCGCCUGGCUUCGCGUCUUCCAGCACCUCGGGCCUCGGGAGCUGUGUAUCUGCAUGCGAGUCUGCCGAACUUGGAGCCGCUGGUGCUAUGACAAGCGUCUGUGGCCUCGAAUGGACCUGAGCCGGCGGAAGUCACUGACCCCGCCCAUGCUCAGUGGUGUGGUUCGCCGCCAGCCCCGUGCCCUGGACCUCAGCUGGACAGGUGUCUCCAAGAAGCAGCUCAUGUGGCUUCUGAACCGACUACAAGGCCUGCAGGAGCUGGUGCUCUCUGGCUGCUCCUGGCUCUCCGUCUCUGCCCUGGGCUCAGCCCCACUGCCAGCCCUGCGGCUCCUGGACCUCCGCUGGAUCGAGGAUGUUAAAGAUUCCCAGCUCCGGGAGCUGCUGCUGCCUCCACCAGACACCAAACCAGGGCAAACAGAGAGCCGUGGUCGGCUGCAGGGGGUGGCAGAACUGCGCCUGGCAGGUCUGGAGCUGACAGAUGCCUCCCUGCGGCUCCUGCUGCGCCACGCACCCCAGCUGAGCGCCCUGGACCUGAGCCACUGCGCCCACGUCGGGGACCCCAGUGUUCACCUCCUCACGGCCCCCACAUCCCCACUCCGCGAGACCCUGGUGCACCUCAAUCUUGCUGGUUGCCACCGCCUAACGGACCACUGCCUCCCGCUGUUCCGCCGCUGCCCUCGUCUACGCCGCCUAGACCUGCGCUCCUGCCGCCAGCUCUCACCUGAAGCUUGUGCCCGGCUGGCAGCUGCCGGGCCCCCUGGCCCCUUCCGCUGCCCUGAGGAGAAGCUGCUUCUCAAGGACAGCUAGUUGGGCGCCCCCCACCCUCCCCCGGACUCGACAGGAGCCUGGACCUCCGGCUUCAUUUCACCCCUGCUGGGAGGCCAGGUUCCCACCUCACCACCCUGGGAUUCUUGAGUGUCAGUGACAUGGGAUUCCCACCCAGGGACUCAAGCCAGCCACCCCCUUCUUUCCCCCCUGCACUGAUAUCUCUGGGGGUUUCUCCUUCCCAUGUCCUCCCCCUGCUACCUGCUUCAUUGUCCAUCCCCUGGGGGGAGUGGGUCAGAGGUACUGGAGGGUGCUGAGCCAAAGGGACGGUGGGAGGGGGGUUAUGGUGCAAGUGUUGGGGGGGAGAAUGGGGAAAGGACACACAGGAUAUGGGAGCCAGGGGCUGGGGGAGGUGGAAGGGGCGGGGGGCGGGGCAGACAGCAGACCACCAAGGGUUCAGGGAACAAAGACCAGUUACUUGGAGUGGGGGGUGGGGGUGGGGCCACAAAAGGAAAACCGGAGGAGCAAUUGGGGAUCCAGGUGUCAGAGGUAGGGGAACCAGGGGCAAGCCGGGGCUGAGCUGGAGGUAGGGAUGAGAGCAGGUGUGGGAACAGCAAUACCCCCUUGGGGGUCACCUCUCUGCUUCCCCCCUCCCCAGGCUUCAGUUCCUUCCCCCUGACCCUGAACGUCACUGAAAACGGCAGCUAUUGCAAGGAGUGGGGGCCGCGGGCAGCCGCUCUUCAGCUCGCGGCCCAGGGGAGUGGCGAGGGGCGCCCUAACCCCCUGCCCGCCUCUCCGCACAAUACUUGAACAUUCAUCUGUACUGAAGUGUUACUUGAACCGGGGGAACCUCGGACCUGGGGGAGCCAGGGUGUGAGGGGACUGGACCAGCUUGGACUGAGACCGGGCCAGUGGGCGCCCAUUUGGGACUGCGCCACCCCCAGGCUUGUUCUUGUUUUACUGUAUUGAGCGGCGGCACCCACCAGACCCGUAUUAUGGCUGGGGGCACCAGCCCAAGGAUGGGGACCAUGGGACUCCUCCAGCCUGGCUCUUCCCACUCUUUCAUCGUCAUGGAAACUUGUAUCCCAUUUGCCCAGGGAACCGCCACUCCUGGUUGCCAUGGAAAUAGCAGCCAACGGACACCUCCCGAUGCCAGUGCUAAGGCUGGAAAUGGCCCCCUCUUAGUUGCCAUGGGAACCUAGUAACAGACUCUCCUGGCCCUCCUUCCCCGCCCCUUCUUCCAGCGCGGGGUGGGGCUUCGGGACCCGGGGGAUGAGCCGGGCCAGGUCCCGCCCCUCCGCGCAGGCCUCCGGGGGGCCGGGGCUUACCAUGUAGGGGAGGGGAGAUCUAUCCACAUACCUCAGGUGGCCAUGGUGGAGGUGCAGCUGGAGAGCGACCACGAGUACCCACCAGGCCUGCUGGUGGCCUUCAGUGCCUGCACCACCGUGCUGGUGGCUGUGCACCUGUUUGCACUCAUGGUCUCCACGUGUCUGCUGCCCCACAUUGAAGCUGUGAGCAACAUCCACAACCUCAACUCUGUCCACCAGUCACCACACCAGAGACUGCACCGCUAUGUGGAGCUGGCCUGGGGCUUCUCCACUGCCCUGGGCACCUUUCUCUUCCUUGCUGAAGUUGUCCUGGUUGGUUGGGUCAAGUUUGUGCCCAUUGGGGCUCCCUUGGACACACCGACCCCCAUGGUGCCCACAUCCCGGGUGCCCGGGACUCUGGCACCAGUGGCUACCUCCCUUAGUCCAGCUUCCAAUCUCCCACCAUCCUCUGCGUCCGCAGCACCGUCCCAGGCUGAGCCAGCCUGCCCACCCCGGCAAGCCUGUGGUGGUGGUGGGGCCCAUGGGCCAGGCUGGCAAGCAGCCAUGGCCUCCACGGCCAUCAUGGUACCCGUGGGGCUCGUGUUUGUGGCCUUUGCCCUGCAUUUCUACCGCUCCUUGGUGGCACACAAGACAGACCGCUACAAGCAGGAACUAGAGGAACUGAAUCGCCUGCAGGGGGAGCUGCAGGCUGUGUGAGGCUGGUGUUAGCCACCGCUCACUGCAAGCACUGCCUCCCUCCGGGGUCUGUGAGAGGCCGCAGGGGCCUACAGACCUCAUCCCCCCAUCCCCUGGCUGGAGCCACUUCCAGUGGCCACUCUCAGGCAGAGUUCAGAUUCCUGCCUGCAGGGUCCUCUGGCCUGGGCCUUGGGGCAGCUCCCACAUUCCCAAGGAUUUUCCCCAUCAGUCUGUGCCUUGGGUUUUUCAAGCUACUCUGCACCUGGGCUGGCCUCAGUUGAAGGAUCAUACAGUAGAGGGGAGGCAGGGAGAGCUUGUGGGACCUUUGGUGCUGACUUUAGCCACCAUUUCCAUUCCUAUACAGGAUGUGAAGGUCAGAAGGCAGCCAACUGUUGGUUUGAUUUUUUUUUUUUUGAGACAGUCUCUGUUUCCCAGGCUGGAGUGUAGUGAUGCAGUCACAGCUCACUGUAGCCUUGACCUUCCAGGCUCAAAAGAUUCUCCCACCACAGCCUCCCAGGUAGUGAGUAGCUGGUACUACAGGUGUGUGCGGCCACACCCGACUAAUUUUUUUGUAUUUUUUGUAGCGACGGGGUUUCGCUAUGUUCCCAGGCUGGUCUCAAACUCCUGGGCUCAAGUGAACCUCCCACCUCGGCCUCCCAAAGUGCUGGGAUUCCUUGCUUUAUUUCUGUAGAAUCUAUUUUAUGGUUGGCAUUUUGGGGGAAGAUUUCGAUGGGUUCCACAUUCUUGCUUUAGUUGUUGUAGAGGGAUUUGGGUGUUUCUACCCCAGGCAUUGGUCUAGCUUGUCCUACAACGAACCUAUCUUUGGAGGUUCAAGCUCCCCACCUUCCCCAACCGUGGUGACCUGUGGCCACUCACAGAAGGGAUGGUGCCUGACCCACUGCCCUAGCCCCACGCUAUGCACUAAACUUGUUCUCCCCCUCCUGGGCCAGGGCUUGGGUCUUUAGAGACUGACAGCCUCUGCCCCAGGCCUGAGUCCUUAGCAAGGAUUGGGUGAGGAGGUUUUAAGGGAGAAGGUCCAGUCUUUAGCCCUUGGAAUACAAAGCUCUUCUGACACUGAAUUUGGAUGCACCUUCUUUUAUAUAAUAAAUCGUGUUUCACAGA